rnacentral:rRNA from 1 species
UACGUAGGGAGCAAGCGUUUGUCCGGAAUCAUUGGGCGUAAAGCGCGCGUAGGCGGCCUCAUAAGUCCGUUGUGAAAGUCAAAGGCUCAACCUUUGAAAGCCGAUGGAUACUGUGAGGCUAGAGUCCGGAAGAGGCGAGUGGAAUUCCUGGUGUAGCGGUGGAAUGCGCAGAUAUCAGGAGGAACACCAAUAGCGAAGGCAGCUCGCUGGGACGGUACUGACGCUAAGGCGCGAAAGCGUGGGGAGCGAUCCGG